AAGCUCGUAGUUGAAUUUCGGGGUUCUACCAUUGGUCGGGCUAACCAGUCUGUACUAGCGUGUAGAAUUCCUACCUUCUGGGGAACCAUCAUGUUAUUAAUUUAGCGUGGUGGGAAACCAGGACCUUUACCUUGAAAAAAUUAGAGUGUUCAAAGCAGGCUUACGUCUGAAUACAUUAGCAUGGAAUAAUAAAAUAGGACGGUGGUCCUGUUUUGUUGGUUUCUGAAUCACCGUAAUGAUUAUAGGGAUAGUUGGG
rnacentral:rRNA from 1 species